rnacentral:rRNA from 1 species
ACUCAAAGGAAUUGACGGGGGCUCACACAAGCGGUGGAGCAUGUUGCUUAAUUCGAAGCAACGCGAAGAACCUUACCUGGGCUUGACAUGCCUGGAUUAACCCCUGGAAACAGGGGCCACACCCGCAAGGGUGGAACAGGCACAAGUGCUGCAUGGCUGUCGUCAGCUCGUGCUGUGAAGUGUCGGGUUAAGUCCCUUAACGAGCGCAACCCUUGUCGCUAGUUGCCAGCGCGUCAUGGCGGGUACUCUAGCGAGACUGCCGGUGUCAAACCGGAGGAAGGUGGGGAUGACGUCAAGUCCUCAUGGCCCAUUUAUGCCCAGGGCUGCAAACGUGCUACAAUGGCGCGCAUAAAGCGACGCGAGGCCGCGAGGCGGAGCAAAUCGCACAAAACGCGCCCCAGUUCGGAUUGCAGGCUGCAAUUCGCCUGCAUGAAGCCGGAAUCGCUAGUAAUCGCGGAUCAGCUACGCCGCGGUGAAUACGUUCCUGAGCCUUGCACACACCGCCCGU